CAGCCGCCGCGGUAAUACAGAGGAUGCAAGCGUUAUCCGGAAUGAUUGGGCGUAAAGCGUGCGCAGGCGGUUGUGUAAGACAGGUGUGAAAUCCCCGGGCUUAACCUGGGAACUGCGCUUGUGACUGCACAGCUAGAGUAUGGCAGAGGGGGGUGGAAUUCCACGUGUAGCAGUGAAACGCGUAGAGAUGUGGAGGAACACCGAUGGCGAAGGCAGCCCCCUGGGCCAAUACUGACGCUCAUGCACGAAAGCGUGGGGAGCAAACAGGAUUAGAUACCCCGGUAGUCCCUGUCUCUUAUAC
rnacentral:rRNA from 1 species